GCGCGCACCUAUCCAGGAUUGGUUUCACCUGGCUUAAUGAAUCCGUGUCUGCUCAUCCUGGCUUGGUCUUUGUGCAACCAAUUAAGCCUGGACGCACAUGUUUUGGCUUCAUUGAGCUCAGCUGAGUCAUUUAUCCCGGAUGUCUUAAUUCUACUUUUGUGCAACAGGCCCCUGGUCUCACAGACUAGAUGUAACAUAGUAAACACACAUUCAGGAUACCCCAAAUAAUAUGAUAUGGUAUGUUUACAUAAGACAGAUGGUUACUUAAGGCAAAAACGAAAGUAGGGUGUUUGGAUGGUUGGAUGGUUGUGAGUUCGAAUCUCAUUGUCAACGUGAAAUUGAGGCUUAUUUGAUCAAAUGAACAUUUUCGGAAUGUUUUGGCUGUUAUGAAUUUACUGAUAUAAGUGGACACCAGGGCUUUGAGAAAAAUACAUUUUAUAUCCCGCCUGCCUUCCGCCUUUGCGGACAUUUAUUCCCAUCGUUAGAGCAGACAGUCCAAUAUCUUGUCAAUAUAAUAGAUGCUGUCGGGAGGAAGGGUAUAGGGAAGUCAGAUCUGUUUUUUAUUUAGGUAAAAAUGUACAACGCUAAAUUAUAUAAAAACCUGGUAAAAUCAUAAAAUCACAAAGAUAAAAUAACAACCAUUAAAUAAAAAGAUGACGGAUUAACAUUACGCUCUACUGCGCUCGUUUUGAACAAUGUAAACUGCGAAGGCGGAGUUUGUUGUUGUAUUUUUCCAGACUCCACCCCUACAUCGAGUCUCGCUGUUCGUUUUGAGCGUUUGCCGCCGGGCUCUUAAAUUGCAAAUCAAGUGAUAUCUCCGCCAACAUGGGCAGGCACCGGGCGUCUCAUACUUUCAAGACAUUCACACUCACUGUCACUGAGAGAACAGGAAGUAGCUAAGUGACUGUGGAAGCAAGGAAAAGCCUAUAAGGGACGCCCAAAGGAUAUUUCAUUUCAGAAUUUAUUAUACUUAGGUUAGGGUAAGGGUUAAGGGUUUGAUUAAGAUUAGGGUAAGGGUGAAGGUCAGUGUUAAGGGUUUGGUUAAGGUUAGGGUUAAGGGUUAGGGUCAGUGUUAAGGGUUUGAUUAAGGUUAGGGUUAAGGUAAGGGUUAUGGUCAGUGUUCAGGGCUUGGUUAAUGUAAGGGUUAGGGUCAGUGUUAAGGGUUUGGUUAAGGUUAGGGUUAAGGGAAGGGUUAUGGUCAGUGUUCAGGGCUUGGUUAAUGUAAGGGUUAGGGUCAGUGUUAAGAGUUUGGUUAAAUUUAGGGUUUAGUUAAUUAAGAGUAGGGUUAAUGUUUUGGCUUGUAGGUUUGAGUGUCAGCUGUGUCUUUAUAGCCUGUCCCUGUCAGCAAACCAUUUGGAGAAGUACGUAGGAAACAAGGCCUGCUACUGUCUGGUUGUGUCUAAGAGAUGGAGAGGAGAGGGGGGGCUGAGAGAGAGGGGGGGGAGAAGGGGGGGGUGAGAGAGCGAGGAGAAAGAGAGACGAGAGAGAGCGAGAGAGAGGGGGGGGCGAGGAGAAAGAGAGAAAGAGGGGGGAGAGAGAGCAAUAAUGACAGAGAAUGACAGAGAAGAGAGAAGCUAAGACAGAGAAUGAGAGAGGGAGAGAGAGCGAUUAGCUAAAAAUAGAGGUCAGUGCAUAUAGUUAACAUACGUCCCUUUUGAUUGGUCGCCAGUGUGUGUAUGGCCUUUGUGAGUGGUUUCCAGUGGCUCAGGUGUCUCUGGGGCCUUUUUCGUUUGGGCAAAAGUCAGUCCUCCGUCCUCUCUCCUCCGUCCCCUCUCCUCCGUCCCCUCUCCUCCGUCCCCUCUCCUCCGUCCCCUCUCCUCUGUCCUCUCUUCUCUGUUCUCUCUCCUCCGUCCCCUCUCCUCCGUCCCCUCUCCUCUGUCCUCUCUCCUCUGUCCUCUCUCCUCCGUCCUCCGUCCCCUCUCCUCCGUCCCCUCUCCUCCGUCCCCUCUCCUCCGUCCCAUCUCCUUCGUCCUCUCUCCUCCGUCCUCCGUCCCCUCUCGUCCGUCCCCUCUCCUCCGUCCCAUCUCCUUCGUCUUAUCUCCUCUGUCCUCUCUUCUCUGUUCUCUCUCCUCCGUCCCCUCUCCUCCGUCCCCUAUCCUCUGUCCUCUCUCCUCUGUCCUCUCUCCUCCGUCCUCCGUUCUCUCUCCUCCGUCCCCUCUCCUCCGUCCCCUCUCCUCCGUCCCAUCUCCUUCGUCCUCUCUCCUCUGUCCUCCGUCCCCUCUCGUCCGUCCCCUCUCCUCCGUCCCAUCUCCUUCGUCCUAUCUCCUCCGUCCUCUAUCCUCCGUUCUCUCUCCUCCAUCCUCUCUCCUCAGUGUUAGUAGGCAAACAGAAGACGGUCCUCCCUUCCACCUUUUGGUGAAUAAACACAGGUGUAUCCUGGUAUGGAAAAG
rnacentral:lncRNA from 1 species